GGGAGCGUAGCUCAGCCUGGUUAGAGCGCCGGCCUUAUAAGCCGGAUGUCAUGGGUCCGAAUCCCAUCGCUCCCACCA
rnacentral:tRNA from 1 species